GCACCUUUCCUCAGUAGAUCUGACAAAGGCAAUAUCAUUAUCUAUAUUUUACAUAUAGGGAAACUGGGGCACGGAGCUGAAAUGAGUUGCCAAAGGUCACCCAGCAGGCCAGUGGCAGAACCAGGAAUAAAACCGAGGUCUCCUGAAUCCCAGUCCAGUGCUUUACCCAGUAGACAACACUGCCUGAAACCUGUUUUUAUGCCGAUUUCCCUGCAGACCCCGGGCAGUGGGGGCAUUUGCUCCGCUACACUCAGCUUCUUUGAAAAUCUGGCCCCAUGUCUGAAAUGGGGCAUCCCAGAAUCAGUGCUCACCUCUGGACGUGGGGUUGUAAGCAAAUGUGAUCCCUUCCUCCCAACAAACCCGCAACCUGGCUGGAUCCAGAGCCACAUCCCCUGCUUGCAGUGACUAUGGGUACCAGCCAGUGGUGAGUCUCCCUCACAAGACUGCCAGUUCUGGUGAACUGGGCAACAGUUGACACCAGUGGCCUGGGUUGUCUGGGGGCCUGUGUGAGCCUGAAGCCUUCUGCUUUCACCUGCCCUGUGCCUCUAGCUCCUACUGUUCAUCCGCAAGGCAGCCUGCUUCACAACUGAGGUCAGUGUCAUAGAAUAUCAGGGUUGGAAGGGACCUCAGGAGGUAUCUAGUCCACCCCCCUGCUCAAAGCAGGAUCCAUCCCCAGGCAGAUUUUUGCCCCAGAUCCCUAAAUGGCCCCCUCAAGGAUUGAACUCACAACCCUGGGUUUAGGAGGCCAAUGCUCAAACCACUGAGCUAUCCCUCCCCCAUCAUUCCCAUUCCACAGAGGGGGAAACUGAGGCACAGGCGGGCGUGCA
rnacentral:lncRNA from 1 species